rnacentral:snRNA from 1 species
UUAUCGCCGCCUUUUGGCUCAGAUCAAGUGUAGUAUCUGUUCUUAUCAGUUUAAUAUCUGAUACGCCCCAUCGGGACCACAUAUUAAAUGGAUUUUUCAACAGGAGUUGAAUGGCUUAUUCUGUCUGCCGCGACGCAUCGACCUGGUAUUGCAGUACUCUCCGGGAAUGGUGCAACACUU